rnacentral:tRNA from 1 species
ACCUGGCUGGCUUAGCUGGUAGAGCAUGUGACUCUUGAUCUUAGGGUCAUGAGUUCAAGUCCCAUGUUGGGUA